rnacentral:misc_RNA from 1 species
GAAAUGCGAUAAGUAAUGUGAAUUGCAGAAUUCAGUGAAUCAUCGAAUCUUUGAACGCACAUUGCGCCCCCUGGUAUUCCGGGGGGCAUGCCUGUUCGAGCGUCAUUUCACCACUCAAGCCUCGCUUGGUAUUGGGCGACGCGGUCCGCCGCGCGCCUCAAAUCGACCGGCUGGGUCUUCCGUCCCCUCAGCGUUGUGGAAACUAUUCGCUAAAGGGUGCCGCGGGAGGUCACGACGCAAAACAACCCCAUUUCUAAGGUUGACCUCGGAUCAGGUAGGGAUACCCGCUGAACUUAAGC